rnacentral:rRNA from 1 species
GGGCUGCAGUAUUUUGACUGUACAAAGGUAGCAUAAUCAUUAGUCUCUUAAUUGGUGACUUGUAUGAAAGAUUGGAUGAGAUAUAUACUGUCUCUGAUUGAUUUAUAAAACUUAAUUUUUUAGUAAAAAAGCUAAAAUAAUUUUAAAAGACGAGAAGACCCUAUAGAGUUUUAUAAUUUAUUUUAUUGUUGUUAUUAUAUAAAUUUUUUAAAUUAAAAUAAAAUAAAUUAUUUUGUUGGGGUGACAAAAAAAUUAAAUUAACUUUUUUUUUAAUAUAAACAUUAAUUUAUGAUUUUAUGAUCCAUUAAUAAUGAUUAAAAGAAAAAAUUACCUUAGGGAUAACAGCGUAAUUUUUUUUUUUAGUUCAAAUAGGAAAAAAAGUUUGCGACCUCGAUGUUGGAUUAA